CUUCGCCUUACCACUAAGCGUUAACAGGAGAGUUCGAAUGUAAACUAUUGCGUAGUCACUAGUCAGUGUUAAUAUGUUAACGUUUACAGCUAGAUUUUGCAAUGAUAUUGCCUUUUAAUUUAUAAACGUUCCAGGCUUUUCUGUGAACAGAUGAACAUUAUAUAUGCGCCAAACAGUGAAUUUCUUUACGAUCGAUGCAAUAAUACGUGUAAGCUUGGAACACUUAACAUACGGAGGCGUAUCUUUGCAACUGCGUCUUUUAUUUCUAAGUUGCAUCUCGACACCUAGGUAUAUCAUGAAUGCCGAUUAUAAUCGCAUAUAAAAUCUGUUUCCAGCAUUGACUAAAUCGGAAAAACAGACAAAUCAAAAAUGGUACCACAAGAAAAAGAAAAAAUAUAGAAUUGUGGGACCUUCAAAUCGUCAGCAUUUGGUUACAAUGGCGCAUGAUGAUGUACCGCAUACAGUAUCAGCGAAAGACGAGACCAUGCCGCCCAAAUCACAGAACUCAUUAAAAGACGCAUCGAAAGAUUACGAAAGAACCGAUAGUGUUAGCUCUAAGAGUAGUAUAGGAAGUGGUCUCCCGAUUCCUCCAGAUGGCGGAUGGGGUUGGGUGGUCUGUUUUGGCUCAUUCCUGGCCAUGUUAAUUCUCGAUGGCUUGCUGUUCUCGUUCGGAGUGUUCUUCAUGGAGCUGUUAAUGUACUUCAAGGAGGGCACCGGGAAGACAGCACUAGUGGGCUCUAUGAUACAAGGAAUGCACCUUAUAGCAGAUAUUCCCCCAGGACAAUGUUGUAUUCGUCUAUGUCAAUGGUUAACUCAAUUGUCCUCUGGUAAGCGGAUUGGUAAAUAAGUAUGGUAUUCGACGUGUUACCAUAGCAGGUGGUCUGGUGACGUCAGCCAGUUUGCUAAGCAGUUCAUUCGCCCCUUCAGUUGACUUCCUCAUAAUAUCAUAUGGGGUCAUUGGAGGCCUGGGGAUUAGUAUGAUCUACCUUCCAGCCGUACUUGCUGUUGGCUUCUACUUUGAGAAGAAGCGAGCUCUGGCAAACGGUAUUGCGAGUAGCGGAUCUGGAAUAGGAACAUUUGUCUUUAGUCCCCUGAUAGAAGGGCUAAUAAACUCGUAUACGUGGAGAGGGACGAUGUUGAUAUUAUCCGCUGUUGUUAUGAAUACGCUGCUAUGUGGGGCAGUAUUCCGCCCAAUUGAACCCAUUAGGUCGAAAAGAAAGGCUGACAAGACAGAUGAUCUGAUCGAUGAUGAGAAGAGGGUUUCUCUUAUUGAAAAUGAACAGCCAAUUGAACCACUUCCAGAUUUGCUUCAAAGUGUACCAAAACGUCAAUUGAACAUGGCUGUGUUUCCGGCUAUACAAAAACAAUUGAAUGAAAACAAAACUACACAUGAAUCUCACCUCAACGUAGAUAUAAAGUCGCCAUUGUAUGUCCAUUCAUUGUCAACCAUACCACAGAAUAACCACACGGGCUUUGGAAAUCUCUUAAAAUCGACUCUUUUAAAACAACAGUUCGGCAGCCAAGAUAAAACAAACGUGUACAGAUCACUAGAAAACGGCCUCCACAACGUGAAGCAGUAUCGCCAGCCAAAGGCCUCAGAACACCAUGACGUUAAAACAAACAAACCAGAUGACGACAUCCUCCAGAAUCCCCUGUACAGGAAGGACGUAUUUUACAGCGGAAGUCUUACCCACCUUCCGGAGUACGUCAACAGUCCAAGCAGUAAAUCUUAUAUUAAGAGCAUGCUAAGUCUACCGACCAGUGAUAGCGGCGACAGUACAGAGAGCAUCAGAUCAAAGUUCUGGCGAAAAAUGAAACGAAUCUUCCAUCAGCCUCUACUGAGGGACCCGCUGUUUGUCAUGUAUAUGCUUCCCUGCGUACUCUGGACAAGUCAUUCAACAAUCAUCACAUAUAUUCCCGACUAUGCCUUGUCAUCUGGUAUGUCGAAGUCCCAGGCAGCCAUGUUGAUAUCUGUGAUCGGUAUCACAAACACUGUUGGAAGGAUAUUCAUUGGAUGGUUCGCAGAUAGGGACUACGUAAACUGUAUUAUUCUCAACGCACUGGCUCUUUUAAUUGCUGGAUCUGCUACUAUGGUGCUGCCGUUCCUUCCAAGCUAUUGGUACAUGUUGACGUAUGCCAGCAUAUUUGGCCUAUGCAUGUCAACCUGGGUGUCCUUAAGGCCUAUAAUACUGGUUGAAUUACUAGGCAUUGAACAAUUAACAAGUGCUUUUGGUCUACUGGCCAUGUUCCAGGGGAUUGCUUUCUCAAUAGGCCCACCCAUAGCAGGUAUAAUGUACGACAUAGGCCAAUCCUACACCUCCCCGUUGGUGGCUUCAGGAAUUAUGUUUGCAUCUGCUGGUAUUUUGAGUGUACUUUUGAAACCAAUACUUAGUCGUAGAAAUAAACUUCGCCAUUCAUGGACGUCUGAGUCGCUCAACUCUUCUUUGUUUGAUAUUCCCGCAAAAGAAGCAUUGCUCGUUGACCAAGACGAGAUUUGGAAACACGACGAGAAUUUGGAACAAAACGAGAUUCUGAAACAAGACGAGAUCUCGAAAAAGGACGUGAUCUCAAAACAAGACGAUGUUUGGAAACAAGCUGAAAUAUGGAUAAAACGAAAAGACAUUCCAUAAUUGCAUAUCAUUAUCAUUCAUUUUUAUAAAUAGAAGAAGCAUAGAUGCGCUCAAUAUAUUUUAUAUUUUAUGUUUAUGAAAUCAUAUUUAGCAAUCAGUACAAGAAUAGAAUAUUUAAAACAUAUAGUUACCCAUUAAAA
rnacentral:misc_RNA from 1 species